rnacentral:lncRNA from 1 species
ACGAGAAUAAUAUCAUUCUAGCUCUUCAGGAAUACGAGACGAGGCGCGAGUGCGAGUUUGAGCAUUCUGAAAAAUGGUUCACAAAGGGCAUCAUUCUGUGCUACAGAAAGUGACUCCUAAAAAAGAUCACUGGUUCUCGACGCAUGAAUUCAAAGUUCUCGCUCACGGGAAAACCAUGAUCUACCAGCGAGUCAAAUCGCACACUAAAAACGUUGUUAAUAGCAGCUAGAUUUUGCGGUAUGAAAAUAUUUCAAAAUACGGCAACCUCGAUCUCGGUGUCCGGCUUCCUCGGAUCGGAUCUCUGCCUGCCGUCCUCUUUUCUCUGUAGUUGAGAAAUUUUGUAAUAAAUAACAUGCCAAAUUCGAGAAAUUUUACAUUGAGUUGAAGUGAUCAAACAAAGUUCGUAAAGCAUGCUUCCACCAAGUAAAAAGUCUAAAAAUUUCAUCAUUUGUUUUAAUCAAUACUUAAUCCUUAUCUCUUAUCACACGUGAUAUCGAUCUCUUAUCAAUAACUCGAAUAAUCGAUUCUUUGAGUUCGAGUUCGAUGGCUCGAUCUCGUCGGCCAUUGUUGUCUUCUGCAUCUCUCCGGCCGGAGGUUAGAAGUUCUGUGGGUAUUUUGAACGCACCCCGAAACUUUGUCUGUUUUUCUCUAUUUUUCUCAAUCACGAUGAUCAUAGCCGUGCGAUCAGAGAAUUUGUGAUUCUAUUACUAAGUCUUUCUUUCAGGAGUGUUUAAGUUUUCUAGUGGUGUCUCUAAUGCUAAGUUUUUUUUACUAUACUCUAAACAGUCACAGUCGUGUUCCUAAGUUCGCGAGUUUUUUUCGAUGUUAAAUGUUUAGUUCAGUAGUCGAGAGUAUGAUAAGUGUCUUUUUUUGUCAGUGGAACGAUGUUCCGUCACUGUUUUCAUACAAUUCGUCAUAUUCCAGGUUGUUUAACUCAGUCAGGCUGAAAAAUGGAUUCGGAUAACUCCUCUUCAAAUGAGGCGUUUGAGUCUCAUGCUCGUAAGUGGGAAGAUGAUGAGAAAUCUGACGAAGAGAAGAAGUCUGGCUCUGAUGGAGAAAUCAGCAACAGGUCAGAGAAAAGUGGGAAGUCCUCGUCUUCCUCCUCAUCUUCUUCGUCAUCUGACUCUGAAGAUGCAAAAUCGCCCGCGUCCAAUGAUCGCUCCCACCCCAGAUCACCAUCACCAGCAGAAGCUAAGUCCCCACGCUCUCCAAUCUCAUCAAAACACCGGCGAUCUCCUGGCUCUGAUCGCUAUGGCACCUCUCCAAGUGAAAUUAAUUCCCCGAAACAAGGCCCUCAGUCUCCUGCAAGUGAUAAAAACCCUGAGUCUCCCUCCUCUGAUAGAUUCUCACCCUCUUCUGUGGAGAAACAUCCUCGAUCUCCAAGUCCUCAAUCUCCAUCUUCAGGUCAUCUGAAUUGGCGUUCUACCAAGUAUAGUCGUAGUCGAUCACCCAGUGAUGGUGAGCGAAGUCCUAGUCCUGCUGGUUCCCCAGAUGCUAACCAACGUUCUCCCCGGUCUCGAGACAAAUUUAGGGAAAACUUUGAUGAUAGAAGUAUUUCUCCAUCAGCACUGAAUCGAGGGAUUCACUCUCCUCGUCAGUCAAAGUCCUAUGCCUCUCCCGGUGGAAAUAGUAAUAUUUCCUCCUCAAGCUCUUACAAUUCCUCUAGGAAUGCAGUCAAAGUGAAGAAAGAGCCAAAUGACUCUCCUAAGUCCUCUCCCAAGAGAAGCACAGUAGCUCAUGAAAAACCCACGAUUCCUGUCAAUCAUGCGGAAGAUCUAUCUGAUGUAUCUGAUGAUGAUUCUGGAAGCGAUAACAUCAGCAUGGACGCUCAGCCAAGCUGUAAUCAAAAUCAAGUUGCGCCAAAAUCUCCAUCUCCAUUAGAUGACCCAGAAUCAAAUCUGAAAAAGAUUGAGAAAGGUGUUGCGCCAAGCACAGCUCUCGAAGGAGAAGAAGCUCUAGAUUUCGAAGCUGAAGAAUUAGUUGAAGAAGGAGAAUGUGAGACCGAAAAAGAGAAAGAGAAGGAAAAAGAAAUCGAAACUGAACCAGAGAAGGAGGAAGGAGAAGAAACUGAAAAGGAAAAUAAGAAGAAAAGACUGGUGAAGAUGACGAAGGGGAGUGCAAAGAGGAUCUUGAAGAAGGUGAACUGA